rnacentral:tRNA from 1 species
AUUUAAAUAGUUUAAUGAAAACAUUGAUUUGUGGGAUCAAAAAUGUAAUAAUUAUUAAUUA